CAGAUGGCGGUGCUUUGUCAUGACUUUACCACGUACCACAGGAUUUUAGCGUUCACGGUUCACUUCGGAUGCAUGGAAUGGAACAUGUAUUGAGGAGAUAUAGAUACACAUACAGAGACCAUGAAAAGGAGGAUGUACUGCGGGGCUCGGUUCGGGUACUGGCGGUACCAGUAGAGAUAGACACCGGAAGUGUAGCUGGUUUCAUAAGAACAGCUGAGGGUCACGGUGUCGCCUUGUGAUCUGGACACCGCGGGUUCAUUGGACCGGAUCGAGUCACCCAGCACCGCACCUGCAACGAGACACUCACGUUCAAGGACAGCCAGGUGCGUUGGCAGGUCUAGGCUGUGAAUUUUAAAAUAGCCCAAGGGAUUUAUCCGCCUGAUUUCGAACAAAUUAAGGUUAGCGCAAAAAUUAAGGUUAAAGCUAGCAGGGGCGUUCAGAUCUGGGUCAGGGUUAGGAUCUGGUUUCGGAUUCUGGGUAGAACGGGAGUUGGGAGCCGAAUUCCAUGACGUUUCUUCAAAAAACCCAGAGCCCGGUUACCUAGUAGGUUAAAGAUCCAAAGGUGGAGAAUGAAACGCGUCUCCAUGGUGCCUCAGACAGCUGGAGCCAGACAAGCUGAGUGGUCGCUGCGAGAAGAAUUUAAAGGCAACUUCUCGGAAGGACUGGGAGAGGUUAGUGCUAGACCGGCCUAGCAGAAGAGGGAGGGAUUCGGGAAAUGCGUAACAGACACAGGAAACGAGCUGGGUUCUGCAACUGAAGCGCAGCGGACACUUACUCAAAGAUAGAAAUGCUGUUGCUGUCCAAAUCAAGAUUUCUGGAGCCUUCGUGGUUAAAUAUAUUGUUUCCAGAUCUUCAGGGGGCGAAAGUCACCAUAAUGAUGGGUGAAUACAGGAACCUGGAUAGAAUAGAAUCUUAUGGUGAAGUUUCUCUCACAGAAUCAAACCAGAGAAAUUAAAUCUGUGGCAAGACCAUUUCGUCCUCUCCUAUAGACCCCAGUUAAAGGCUGUUUCCCUCACCAUGUAACAGCUAAUACCCUCCGGUAGCGUUUACCCUGCUCAUGGUGGAUUCGGCUUGUUCCUGUCACGUGACACCUUUCUAACCUCCAGAUCGCUUCAGUAACUCAGUAGAAGCAAUUUAGUUCUGUCUCAUCUUCGAAGACAAGAGCUCAGCAAGAAUCACAAGGUCGACCAGGGUUUUACUUUUGAAAAAAGCUAACACCAAAAAAAAAAAAAGUCUAGUCAGGACCUUCCCUGCUCACAGCCCAGCGAAACAUUGUGUGCGGGAUCUUUCUCCAGAGUGAAGCAAAAUUAAGCUAAUUGAUUCAAGACCUGGGGAUUUGGGCCAUUGACUCCAAUGGCGAGGCAGCUGAUUUACGCCAGUUGGGGUCUGGCCCAUUGAAUCCAAUGGAGCAACCUUGAUUUGCACCAGCUGAUACUUUGCCCCAUUUACGCUACUGGAGCGAGGUCUGAUUCCUACCUGCUGGGGUCUGGCCCCAAAAGCAGACGGAGCUAUUCAUGGGAAUUGCGGUGUGACAGGUACUGACAUCGGGCUCAUGAGGUUCUGGGUGUUUUGGGAGAAGUAGGGGGAUGGUUCCUGGAAAAGGGUAACAUUUCCACACAGUUAGUGCCCGUGCGGUUUCAGUCACACCCUGCAUCGUUUGAUUCAAACCCCUGCUUGUGGCUUGCGGUGUCUCUUUACACGGAUUUCUGUCUGCGCGAGUUUUGUCUCCGAGUCAAGAAAAAAGUGAGCACUGGAUUUUGUAAAAGCCCCUCUAUUAACCCACCCGCCGUGGUAAUCUAAGGCCCUCUCAGAAACACAUCGACUAAUUUUUCAGUUCUAACACCGCAAUUCUCAGACCCACGUAUUUUUCGACUCGCCUGAAAUCCCGUAACAACCGACUCCCAGCCCCGUUGUGCUCGGUUCCAGCAGACCUUGGGAAGAGGUACUUCGUCUGCCCGCUGCUGUCCUGUUUAUACCAGUAUAUAUCAUAACCUGCAUCUUCAGUCGAGAAAGUACAGCCCAGUGUGACAGAGUCACUUUGUACCCCGGUCAGCUGCCCUUGUCUCUGGGUGACACUGUUCUUCUCGGUACUUGAUCCUGCAAAAAACAGUAGAUGCAAAUUCACUAUAAAAUUAGCACAGCUGUGUCUGCUGUCAACUGAGAAUCUCAAAG